GUGAGGAAUAUUGGACAAUGGGCGCAAGCCUGAUCCAGCCAUGCCGCGUGAGUGAUGAAGGCCUUAGGGUUGUAAAGCUCUUUUGUCCGGGAAGAUAAUGACUGUACCGGAAGAAUAAGCCCCGGCUAACUUCGUGCCAGCAGCCGCGGUAAUACGAAGGGGGCUAGCGUUGUUCGGAAUCACUGGGCGUAAAGCGCACGUAGGCGGACCAUUAAGUCAGGGGUGAAAGCCUGGAGCUCAACUCCAGAACUGCCGGUGGUACUGAUGGUCUAGAGUAUGGAAGAGGUUGGUGGAACUGCGAGUGUAGAGGUGAAAUUCGUAGAUAUUCGCAAGAACACCGGUGGCGAAGGCGGCCAACUGGUCCAUUACUGACGCUGAGGUGCGAAAGCGUGGGGAGCAAACAGGAUUAGAAACCCCGGUAGUCC
rnacentral:rRNA from 1 species